UUAUGACAGUAUUUGCAUGAAUGGCUGAAUUGGUAUUGGUGUUGAAAUAUAUGAAAUGUGUAUUUAGCCUUGAAAGGCUGUGAAUUAUAAUAAUUGUCAUGUCAUGCUAGAAUGAAUUUUAUUGAUUGGUGGAUUAUAUAUUAAUUAAUCACUGUAGUAGGGGGUGUCUGUGGACCAGCCUUUUAGAGGGGCACAGUAAACCCCAUUAUAUUCUUACCUCGAACGGAGAGGCGCGUAGGGUAUCUCCUAGGGUAAAGCUUAGGGUUCACUUCACGCCAAACCACCACGUGAAGGGGAACUCAGCCAACGCCAAAGAAUGGUUGUGUUUUCUCAAACUAAAAAUAUGUUUUACGUGUAUACGAAAUUUUUAACAGCCUUGG
rnacentral:lncRNA from 1 species